GAUGAACGCUAGCUACAGGCUUAACACAUGCAAGUCGAGGGGCAGCGGGAUUGAAGCUUGCUUCAAUUGCCGGCGACCGGCGCACGGGUGAGUAACGCGUAUCCAACCUUCCGUACACUCAGGGAUAGCCUUUCGAAAGAAAGAUUAAUACCUGAUGGUAUGAUGAGAUUGCAUGAUAGCAUCAUUAAAGAUUUAUCGGUGUACGAUGGGGAUGCGUUCCAUUAGGUAGUAGGCGGGGUAACGGCCCACCUAGCCAACGAUGGAUAGGGGUUCUGAGAGGAAGGUCCCCCACAUUGGAACUGAGACACGGUCCAAACUCCUACGGGAGGCAGCAGUGAGGAAUAUUGGUCAAUGGGACGAGAGUCUGAACCAGCCAAGUAGCGUGCAGGAUGACGGCCCUAUGGGUUGAAACUGCUUUUAUAAGGGAAUAAAGUGAGUCUCGUGAGACUUUUUGCAUGUACCUUAUGAAUAAGGACCGGCUAA
rnacentral:rRNA from 1 species